CGGGGAGUAGCGCAGCCCGGUAGCGCGCCUGCUUUGGGAGCAGGAUGUCGCAGGUUCGAAUCCUGUCUCCCCGACCA
rnacentral:tRNA from 61 species